UACGAAGGGUGCAAGCGUUACUCGGAAUUACUGGGCGUAAAGGGUGCGUAGGUGGUUUGUUAAGUCCGUUGUGAAAUCCCUGGGCUCAACCGUGGGAAUGGCAGUGGAUACUGGCAAGCUAGAGUGCGGUAGAGGGUAGUGGAAUUCCCGGUGUAGCAGUGAAAUGCGUAGAGAUCGGGAGGAACACCAGUGGCGAAGGCGGCCGGCUGGGGGUGCCCUGACGCUGAGGCGCGAAAGCGUGGGGAGCGAACCGG
rnacentral:rRNA from 1 species